rnacentral:lncRNA from 1 species
CAGUUAUGUUCCUUUUGGCUCAGUGAGGAUUUGAUUUAAUGAAAAAAAUUGAAUAAUUUCUGAAAAAAAAUUGUGACAAUUCCUCUAGCCUGCAUUACUGAUUAACUCUUUUCAUGUGCAUGAAAGUAAGGUGGCUUUUUGAUUUUUAGCUAGGAACUGCCUUUCUUAAUGAAAAGAAAUCAGAUCCCUCCAGCACAAAACAAAGCAGGAAAACCUGCAAGAAUGAAGAGUGAAGAUCCAUGCUUUUUAGUGCGUACGUUAUAAACAUUAGGCUGACCAGAAAAACAUGGACAUUUUUUAUGGAUCAGUGGAAGAUUAUAAAGUGGAUAUACUAAAUGACAUUGCAAACAGACCUUCUAGAAGAAUCUGAGUAGGAGACCAAAAGGGAAAUAUAGAAUCGUUUCCGAUUCAUAAUCAAUUGUAAUUAAAUCAUCUGACUAUUGAUUCAGAGCAUGUUAAUUUAUAUUUUUGCUCCACAGAAAAGCAGCUGUGAAUGCAACUUUCUAUGUUCUGAUAAAGCACCCUUCCGAAGCCACGUAAAAAUCUCACAGAAAGCAACAGUCAGCUAUGACAGAUGCAUCUUUGACAGCUCAUUCCUGCAACGACUAUUGCCUUAAAGAAGUCUUGAUUCAUGGAUGACCUUGGCUUAGCAUGUAUAUUUUUGACUGUUUUGUGCCUGAAACAAGUACAGCCUUGGACUGUUUGAAAAGCUAUUGUCUGCCUGCAUGAAAAACAUCUUGCUUUUCUAUUAGAAAGUUACAGGAUCUGAAAAAUAUUUGUUUCUUUUUUUUCCCCUUAGAAUAGAAAAUUUCUCUUUCUGCAUUUAUAUUUCAUGUCUUAAUGAUUUAUGAGUAAAUAAAAGUCAAC